UCGGUCGAGGCUUUUAUCGGCGACGCGAGGCAUCUGCUUCCCAAGCAGAGGGUCGCGGGUUCGAGCCCCGUCUCCCGCUCCA
rnacentral:tRNA from 1 species